AGACUUCAGCUGGAAAACAGAAUGAUGAGAAACUGACUUGGAAGAGUGACUCUGAUGACUGUAUGAGCAGUGACUGAAGGACUUACUGUUCAUGACAUUUUAGGAAACAAAUGUGAACCAGUCAGUGAGAGAACGU